rnacentral:lncRNA from 1 species
CACUUUCUUCCUCCGUCAUCUCCCAGUCUCCAACAUCGCGGAUCUCCCGGAACUAUCCGACGAUUACAAAUCCGUAAUGAAACAAUUCGCGUCAAAAUUACAAGUACUCGCCGAACUCCUCCUGGAUUUGCUCUGCGAAAAUCUGAACCUUCCAAAAUCAUAUCUGAAAAACGCUUUCCACGGAUCCAACGGCCCAACUUUCGGGACAAAAGUCAGCAAUUACCCACCUUGUCCAAACCCAGAUCUAAUAAAAGGCCUCCGAGCACACACCGACGCGGGAGGGAUAAUCCUUCUAUUUCAAGACGACAAAGUGAGUGGUUUGCAACUGUUGAAGGAGGGGGAGUGGGUGGACGUGCCGCCGGUCCGGCACUCGAUCGUGGUGAAUAUCGGGGAUCAAUUGGAAGUGAUUACAAACGGGAAAUAUAAAAGUGUUUUGCACAGAG